rnacentral:rRNA from 1 species
UAACAGUUUGAUCAUGGCUCAACCAUGGACGGUAAGUCGGNGAUGCCUAAUACAUGCAAGUCGAGCGAAUGGAUUGAGAGCUUGCUCUCAAGAAGUUAGCGGCGGACGGGUGAGUAACACGUGGGUAACCUGCCCAUAAGACUGGGAUAACUCCGGGAAACCGGGGCUAAUACCGGAUAACAUUUUGAACUGCAUGGUUCGAAAUUGAAAGGCGGCUUACGGCUGUCACUUAUGGAUGGACCCGCGUCGCAUUAGCUAGUUGGUGAGGUAACGGCUCACCAAGGCAACGAUGCGUAGCCGACCUGAGAGGGUGAUCGGCCACACUGGGACUGAGACACGGCCCAGACUCCUACGGGAGGCAGCAGUAGGGAAUCUUCCGCAAUGGACGAAAGUCUGACGGAGCAACGCCGCGUGAGUGAUGAAGGCUUUCGGGUCGUAAAACUCUAGUUGUUAGGGAAGAACAAGUGCUAGUUGAAUAAGCUGGCACCUUGACGGUACCUAACCAGAAAAGCCAACGUGCUAACUACGUUGCCAAGCAAGCCGCNGUUAAUACAGUAAGNUUGCAA